rnacentral:rRNA from 1 species
AACAGGAUUAGAUACCCUGGUAGUCCACGCCGUAAACGAUGUCGACUAGCCGUUGGGUCCUUCGCGGACUUUGUGGCGCAGUUAACGCGAUAAGUCGACCGCCUGGGGAGUACGGCCGCAAGGUUAAAACUCAAAUGAAUUGACGGGGGCCCGCACAAGCGGUGGAGCAUGUGGUUUAAUUCGAUGCAACGCGAAGAACCUUACCUACCCUUGACAUCCUCGGAAUCCGCCAGAGAUGGCGGAGUGCCUUCGGGAACCGAGAGACAGGUGCUGCAUGGCUGUCGUCAGCUCGUGUUGUGAAAUGUUGGGUUAAGUCCCGUAACGAGCGCAACCCUUGUCCCUAUUUGCCAGCGAUUCGGUCGGGAACUCUAGGGAGACUGCCGGUGACAAACCGGAGGUAGGUGGGGACGACGUCAAGUCAUCAUGGCCCUUACGGGUAGGGCUACACACGUGCUACAAUGGUCAGUACAAAGGGUUGCGAACUUGCGAGAGUGAGCCGAUCCCAGAAAGCUGAUCUCAGUCCGGAUCGGAGUCUGCAACUCGACUCCGUGAAGUCGGAAUCGCUAGUAAUCGUGAAUCAGAAUGUCACGGUGAAUACGUUCCCGGGCCUUGUACACACCGCCCGUCACACCAUGGGAGUGGACUGCACCAGAAGUGGUUAGCCUAACCUUCGGGAGGGCGAUCACCACGGUGUGGUUCAUGACUGGGGUGAAGUCGUAACAAGGUAACC